rnacentral:rRNA from 1 species
UACGGGGGGUGCGAGCGUUGUCCGGAAUCACUGGGCGUAAAGGGCGCGUAGGUGGUUUGAUAAGGGUGUGGUGAAAGUCCGGAGCUCAACUCCGGAUCUGCCGUGCCGACUGUCAAACUCGAGGGCUGUAGAGGCAGACGGAAUUCCGGGUGUAGCGGUGGAAUGCGUAGAGAUCCGGAGGAAGACCGGUGGCGAAGGCGGUCUGCUGGGCGAGUUUCUGACACUGAGGCGCGACAGCGUGGGGAGCAAACAGG